UCUACCGUCCAAAAUGGCGGAUGGUAGCAGAGAGACGGAAAGUCAGCUGCUAGGAAAAUUCGUAGAAAAGCAGACUAAGUAUGGCACAACGACGCGGUUAGUGGCAAAAUCGUCGUUUGUCGUGAAGCAUAAAGUGUGUCAGUCCGAUACUUUGAUGGGGAUCGCCCUAAAAUAUGGAUCAACGGUGGAGCAAAUAAAACGUGAAAACAAAUUAUGGACAAAUGACAGUUUAUUUCUAAGGGAGUACCUGUUAAUUCCAAUAGCUAGUGAAAAUGAGAACGAUCUUCCAGAGGAUUGUGAAAUUGUUGAAGUGGACAACACUCUGCGCUCACGCUCGAGUAGUCAGAAAUCUAGGUCAAACAGUCAAGUAAAUGGCAGUGACAAUGCGAACUCAACUCACACGCCAACAAAACAGAGUUCUGAGCCGGAGGAAACCAAAGAAACCUCGGGAAAAGACUUUCUUAGCAAGUUUGAUAAUUCGUUUGCAGUUUUAAAGUCCAAUGUUAAGAAAAUGGAACAAAAUACCAGCAGUUCCCCGACCUCUGAACCCCACCAUCUCCAGGUCAACAAUAAAUAUGACCUAAACGCAGUGUCUCCGGACACUGAUUGUUAGGUUGCCAUGGAAAUCUGUAGCUUCUAUGAAGAUACCCACAAUGCAUUGCCACAUCCUCCGAAAACCAGUUCCACUUCCUCUUCUUCUCAUUCUCGAGCUUCGUAUGACGGGUACCAGAACAGCGGGUACCAGUUAGACGGUUCACCAGUGUUACAAAUUAAAUCUCGAACUCAGAAAGUGCAGUCAUCCGUGUCCAGUCGACUCGAGCAGAAAAGUGAUGAACUAUUCCAGUUAUGACCAGCGUUUACCUAGUUAUUAUUGUAAUUUUGUAAAACCAAAACAAGUAUUGCAAUUGAAGUAUUUUUAAAAGCCAUAAUAAUGUCACAAUAAUAUUGAAUUAUAUGAAAGAAAUGUUUUUAUUUAUUUUCUGUUUGAUUAUAUCAGUAAUUUGUAAAGUAAAUAAAUGAUAUUUUGAUAAUCUCUUGAGACUUAAUUUGGUUAAAAAAUUUUAGUCAGAGAAUUUUUAUAGUUUCUGAAUAUUUUUUUUGGGAGUUUAAAAUUCUAAAACAUUGUUUUGAUCUUUGGCAUAGUUAAAUACAUAAAAUGGUCAAUGAAAUUAAUUAUUAAUUAUUAUUACAGUAAUCAAUGUGGGUACAAUCAGUAGCUAGGUGCUUCGUACACAUUUUAAGUACAGGUAAUAACAUUAUACAUGUAUAUAUCCCUGUAUGAUAUUUACAUAAGACCCCCCACACACACACACACAAACACAUACAAUAUAUGUAGAUCCUAACUCUGUAUAUUUUUAAUUAAAUAAUGUAUAUAUUGACAAUGUUUGAUCUACCAUUGAUACAAAACCAUGAAAAUAAUAGUUGCAAUGGUGAAGAAACCUUGGGUUGUUUUUUUUUUUGUAAACAAUAAAUAUGUUUGUACCUUUGUUUUGAUUAAUUCUUCACAUAAUUAUGAAUGUCAAAUCAUUUUUAUCUUGAUGUCAAAUUUACCACCAAAAAUAAAAGCAUCAAUGAUCAUAAUAAAGAUAUAUAUCAUUUAAAUAAAAGUAUUAUAUAAACAUAAUAAUUUUACACAUAAUGUGAUAUUAGUUGAUUUUUCUGUUUAUAUAUACAUGAACCAGUAUGCAUUUUUUUUUGUUAGAUCUACUCGAUAGAUAUCCUCCCUGUAUAUUUCCAAUUUUAAUUUAAGUCCUUUCGAGUGAUUGGAUGGUUUUUGGAUGGUUUGAUGGGAUGUCAUUGUUUUCUAUUAUGAAUUUCACAAUUAUGUUUUAGAAUACACCUGUAGCGCUUUAGCUAAUUUGCAGUCAUAUUACUGCAUAAGAAUUGUUAGUUUCAUCAGCAUUAAUUUUAAUGAACCGAUACACAACACAAAUAUAUGAUGCAAAUUUGUGAAUAUGUAUAUUGAUAGUUUACCUAUUUAAAAAUAUCCAUGACCUAAAUGGUGUUCAGACUGCAUGAAUGUAUAAUAAUUAUGUCCAUAUGGUAUUUAUUUGACCACUAGAUAUAUCUGUUUAGAAGAAGAAGCAUUGUUAGUUGUGACCAGCAAAAGAAUUGUAGUUAGGUCCCCUGAACCUCAUUUACAUGCAGAGAUUAAGAUUAUACCAUUGUACAAUGGCUUAUAGUCAACCAUGUGAUAGUUCAUUGUAAACUGCUUCGUCAACGUAGUUAAUAAUUGAAACCAAGAGGGUUAUGCUUUUGUUUAAAACAUAUACUGUCUAAUUAAACAUGAUAGAUCUUUGUGUAGCAAACUACUUGGAGCGGAUCAAAGAUCUCAUUUUAGGGUUAUGAUUUUAUUCAAUAUACAAUCAUAGGCUGUCUGUCAAUGAUCUUCUCCAAAUGGGAGAUUUGUUAUGGGAGAACAAUUUCUGUGAAAUUUUGCAUUGCUCAUUUUACGUGUAUUAAUAAAGAGGUUUCUGAAUAGU
rnacentral:misc_RNA from 1 species